rnacentral:rRNA from 1 species
UACGAAGGGGGCUAGCGUUGUUCGGAAUUACUGGGCGUAAAGCGUGCGCAGGCGGUGAUGUAAGACAGAUGUGAAAUCCCCGGGCUCAACCUGGGAACUGCAUUUGUGACUGCAUCGGCUGGAGUACGGCGAGAGGGGGAUGGAAUUCCGCGUGUAGCAGUGAAAUGCGUAGAUAUGCGGAGGAACACCGAUGGCGAAGGGCAAUCCCCUGGGCCUGUACUGACGCUCAUGCACGAAAGCGUGGGGAGCAAACAGG